UACGGAGGGCGCAAGCGUUGUUCGGAAUUACUGGGCGUAAAGCGCGUGUAGGCGGCCAGGUAAGUCGGAUGUGAAAGCCCGGGCCCAACCCCGGAACUGCACCCGAUACUGCCUGGCUGGAGUCCCGGAGAGGAUGGCGGAAUUUCCGGUGUAGAGGUGAAAUUCGUAGAUAUCGGAAGGAACACCAGUGGCGAAGGCGGCCAUCUGGACGGUGACUGACGCUGAGACGCGAAAGCGUGGGGAGCUAACAGG
rnacentral:rRNA from 1 species